rnacentral:lncRNA from 1 species
AAGCCACAGAAUUGCUGAGUUGGAAGAGGCUAACAGAUCAUGGAGUCCAACUUUCCAAUCAGCAGUGCCUUCCAUAAUCCUCAUUCCUGUACUGCUCUUGAAAGAAGAAAAAAAUCUUAAUUGAGAGAAUAAAAAUGUUGCACUUUUUAUUUUCUGUUCAGGGAGGGUCUUCUGUCAGUGAUAAUGGCAAUGAAUCCUAUGGUCAGGAUGGAUCUUCUGCAUAUGGUGGCACUGCCUCUUAUGGUCAGGACUCACCAUCCAUGGGAGUUAGUGAAUCUGAUUACAGUGAUUCCGCCUCAUCAUCUUACAACCGUCAGAGUGAACGGGAUUUUUAUUCCCCUGGAGGCAGCCAGUCAGGUGGACAUGGAUUAUCUUCUCAAGGUGGUGGCUACUCCGGUGGACAGGGCUCAUCCUCAUUAGGAAGCAACCAGUAUGGUGGGCAGGGUAUGCCUUCAAGAGGCAGCCAGUCUGGUGGACAGGGUGGAUGUGAUUGCUCUGGUGCAAGCUCUACUGGAUCAUAUUCCUCACACAGAAGUAAUUCCUCUUCAAAUGACACAUCUUAUUCUGGAGGAAGCCAUUACAGUAGCUAUGAUUCCUCUUCACCAUCUUACAACCGUCAGAAUGAACGGGAGUCAUAUUCUUCUGGAGCUAGUCAAUAUGGUGGACAAGGAUUUCCAUCUCGUGGAAGCAGCCAGUAUGGUGGACAAGGUCCAUCUUCCUCAGGUGGCAGCCAUUAUGGAGGACAGGGCUUUUCUUCAGGAGGUGGACAGGGUAUGCCUUCAAGAGGCAGCCAGUCUGGUGGACAGGGUGGAUGUCAUUGUCCUGGUGGGAGCCCGGGCUCUUUUGGAGGAAGCAACUACCAUGGUGGACAGGGCUCAUCUUAUUCUGGAGGCCGACAGCAUGGUAAACCAGUAAGUAAAAACUUAUCAAGUUUUCCUUAUAUUUUUCUCAUUACUCUGUUAUAUACAAAAAGAGUUUUUUU